rnacentral:rRNA from 1 species
CCUACGGGUGGCUGCAGUGAGGAAUAUUGGUCAAUGGACGGAAGUCUGAACCAGCCAUGCCGCGUGCAGGAAGACGGCUCUAUGAGUUGUAAACUGCUUUUGUACAAGGGUAAACCUGAAUACGUGUAUUCAGCUGAAAGUACUGUACGAAUAAGGAUCGGCUAACUCCGUGCCAGCAGCCGCGGUAAUACGGAGGAUCCAAGCGUUAUCCGGAUUUAUUGGGUUUAAAGGGUGCGCAGGCGGAGGCACAAGUCAGCGGUAAAAUCGCGGGGCUCAACCCCGCUCCGCCGUUGAAACUGUGUCCCUUGAGUGCGCGAAGGGUAGGCGGAAUGCGUGGUGUAGCGGUGAAAUGCAUAGAUAUCACGCAGAACUCCGAUCGCGAAGGCAGCCUACCGGCGCGCAACUGACGCUCAUGCACGAAAGCGUGGGUAUCGAACAGGAUUAGAUACCCCUGUAGUC